AUUGUGUAUUUUUUUUAAUAUCACCAGUUUUAUCCAACGGGAAGUCCCAGUGAGAACUAAGAGGAAACGGCAUAUAAGCUUAGCAUUUAUUGACAUUUUACAUCACACCCCUGCGCAGUUUUUACCUGCAUGGUGUGAUUUUAUUGGUGAUCAUUUUAACAGCAAACUGAAGUCAGCCAUUGAUACUGAAGCUCCAUUUAAAAAUAAUACAUUAAAAGCCAGAACUAUACCACCAUGGAGAAAUGAGAUGAUUAAAAAAUUGAAAAAGAACUGCAGAAAGAAAAUGGAGAAAAACAAAAUUAAGCAUUGACUUGGAUAUUUUCAAGGAACAACUACACAAUUACAACAACGCAGUAAAACUGGCAAGAACCCUCCAUUUUUCAAACCUCAUCACACAAAACAAAAGUAAUUCUAAAUUCCUUUUUAAAACAAUCAAUCUUUUAAUAAACACAGAUUUUAACAAAUCCACCAGACCAGCAUCUGAUGCUGCAUGCGAGGACUUUGCAGACCACUUCAGAAGUAAGAUCAAUGCUAUUAGAUCCAGCCUUUUAUCCCAACAAAAUUUAGAUUUUAACAGAUCUGAAGUGUUGUUUUUACCUGAGGAAACAGUCCUGUAUAUUGUUUUUCGGCACUACCUUGUUCUCUAUAGCUGAUAUAACAUGAAUUACUCCUAUGUCGGAUCAAUAAAGUUCUUAUUUUUGCUGUCUGAGAAAAUUAAAUAUAUUAUAUUUGGUGCCUAACUGUUUCCCAAGUAUAUUAGUGCGUGUGUGAAUGAAUAAAUGAGACGUAAAACGUACAUUUCUUUGUAGAAAGGCGCUUUAUCAAAAUAAGUCCAUUUACUUGUAUUAGUUUACAGCGCAGUCUUGAACAUCCAACAUGGCGGCGACGUUGACGUAUCGCAGCAGCUCCGUGGGGCGGAUACGUCUAUACGUCUAUGACCUCUGACCCUGCAGGCCGUCGUCUUCUACACGGAGAGUCUGCAGAGCUCCGACCUGCAGCUGCAGCUCAGCUCCUGUCUGGCCCUGAAGAGUCUGAGGGCGGUGGAGAGCGUGGAGCUCAUCUCAGACCUGUGGAGGACGGAGGACGAAGAUCUCCGCAGCGUUGCCAAGGAAACCGUCCUCUCCUUCGGUAAAAAGGGAUACGGAGCUUUCCAGAAGAUGGACCAGCUGUACGCCGAGAUGGAGGAGGAGGUUUACAAGAACCUGGAGGAGGAAAUCACAUUUCUAUAACUCAGGUGAUGCGACCUGGAAUCACGCAGAGCUCUGGAUGUGGAACCGACUCUAAACCAGGAUAAAGUCCCCGGGCCGUGAACCGGAGCUGCUCCUGGAUCUGAUGAAGGCGACGUCUCUCCGGACGGAUCUGCAGGCCAGAGGUCUCCGGGUUCAACCUGAGAAACUUUAUUAUCCUGGAUCUGGUUCAAAGACGUUUUCUUCUGCAUUUAUCUGUUUGUUCGUGUGCAAAUCUGAAUGUUUGACCUUCUUCCUACAGGCAUUACUUUGGUUUUCAUGUAAAAUGAAGGAUAAAUAUAUA